rnacentral:lncRNA from 1 species
GAAAUUGUUUUGGAAUAUUAAUGAGGUCUUAAAUAGAAAUUUGACCAAUUUUAAGUUCAUGGACAAAAUUAGGACAUGGAAGGAAUUUUUGGAAAGUUUAGUAGUAAGGGUAUUUUGGUCAUUUAGUUAUUAAAAUGAAUUAAAAACAAAAUUAAAAGCCAAUUUUUGUCCAUCUUCUUCAUUAGGACGAAAUUUCAAGGGUUCUCCAUAGCUGGGGUUUGUUUCAAGCUUCCAAGCUCCAUAGUAAGUGAUUCCAAGCCCCGUUUUUAAUGAUUUUUACGUUUUUGAGAUCCCGG